rnacentral:rRNA from 1 species
CCUACGGGAGGCAGCAGUGAGGAAUAUUGGUCAAUGGACGCAAGUCUGAACCAGCCAUGCCGCGUGCAGGAAGACGGCUCUAUGAGUUGUAAACUGCUUUUGUACGAGGGUAAACGCAGAUACGCGUAUCUGUCUGAAAGUAUCGUACGAAUAAGGAACGGCUAACUCCGGGCCAGCAGCCGCGGUAAUACGGAGGAUUCAAGCGUUAUCCGGAUUUAUUGGGGUUAAAGGGUGCGUAGGCGGUCGGAUAAGUUAGAGGUGAAAUCCCGAGGCUCAACUUCGGAAUUGCCUCUGAUACUGUUCGGCGAGAGAGUAGUUGCGGUAGGCGGAAUGUAUGGUGUAGGGGUGAAAUGCUUAGAGAUCAUACAGAACACCGAUUGCGAAGGCAGCUUACCAAGAUACUUCUGACGUUGAGGCACGAAAGCGUGGGGAGCAAACAGGAUUAGAUACCCGAGUAGUC